rnacentral:tRNA from 1 species
CUCCAGUUAGCCUAGAAGUUAAGGCUUUGGAUCGCCAAUCCGGAGACGGCGGGUUCGAUUCCCGUUCUGGUCG